rnacentral:rRNA from 1 species
AUUGAACGCUGGCGGCAGGCUUAACACAUGCAAGUCGAACGAGUGGCGGACGGGUGAGUAAUGCUUGGGAAUCUAGCUUAUGGAGGGGGAUAACUACGGGACACUGUAGCUAAUACCGCGUACCAUCCGAUGUGCCCAGAUGGGAUUAGCUAGUAGGUGGGGUAAUGGCUCACCAAGGCGACAGUCCCUAGCUGGUCGGAGAGGAUGACCGUCCACACUGGAACUGAGACACGGUCCAGACUCCUACGGUAGGCAGCAGUGGGGAAUAUUGCGCAAUGGGCGCAAUCCUGAAGCAGCCAUGCCGCGUGUGUGAAGAAGGCCUUCGGGUUGUAAAGCUCUUUCAGUGUAGAGGCGUUACUGACAGAAUAAGCACCGGCUAACUCCGUGCCAGCAGCCGCGGUAAUAC